rnacentral:tRNA from 4 species
GGGCUUGUAGUUUAGACUGGUAGAAUACUCGCCUUGCACGCGAGGGGUCAGGGGUUCAAAUCCCCUCGAGUCCACCA